GGAAGAUUAACCCUAAUUUGGUAAGGGGUCUCCCUGCUAAGGAGAUAGUAACCCAGAAAUGGGUGUGCCAGUUCAAGUCUGGCAUCUUCCU
rnacentral:tRNA from 1 species